GCAUAUCAAUAAGCGGAGGAAAAGGUGGAGAAGAAAGGAGAAGAGGAGAGAGAGAAGAGAGAAGAACGGCGAAGGGAGGAGAAGGUGGAGAAGAAAGGAGAAGAGGAGAAAGAGACAGAAAGAGAGACUAUGAAUAUUACACCGUCUUGAAACACGGACC
rnacentral:rRNA from 1 species